rnacentral:rRNA from 1 species
UACGUAGGGUGCGAGCGUUGUCCGGAAUUAUUGGGCGUAAAGAGCUCGUAGGCGGUGUGUCGCGUCGGUCGUGAAAACUUGGGGCUUAACCCUGAGCUUGCGGUCGAUACGGGCAUCACUGGAGUUCGGCAGGGGAGACUGGAAUUCCUGGUGUAGCGGUGAAAUGCGCAGAUAUCAGGAGGAACACCAGUGGCGAAGGCGGCGACCUGGACGGACACUGACGCUGAGACGCGAAAGCGUGGGGAGCAAACAGG